GCAGAUGGGGACAUGGGUGGACAAGCAAGCACUACUUACUCACUGGAGGUAGGGGAGACUGAGGCACAGAAGCAGCCAGAGAGUGCGGAAGACACCCAGCACCCAGGGUCUCUGUGCCUCAGAGUACCUGAGCAUGAGGUCACAAUGCUCCUUCCAGCACAGCGCAGGGUGCUGGGAGGCUGUGUUUUCCAGGAAAGUACACCACAUAAGAACGCUCCGCAGCAGAACUAAAGCCAGAGAGGGGUUCCUUUAUCACAGAACCCCCAUCGCCACGCCGUUUCUGGGAGGCCCUGCCAUUCCCAGGCCCUGAAAGACACAUUCCUGCUCAUCCUCAGGUGCACCUGCCCCUGGGAAGCCGGCCCAGAAGUUUCUUCUUCCUCACCAAGACCGCAGGAAGCUCUAGGGCAGGGCCAGCCCUCCUCCCAGGUACAAGGAAGUGCCUUGAAUACACAA
rnacentral:lncRNA from 1 species